AUUGCUUAGUCUAGGAGCACACUUAUCUGAUUUGGAUGAGCUGUGUCUUGGGUUGCUUUCAGUCAGGCAGAUGAUGUGUAGUGGCCGUGACUCACAUUUUCAAAUAGGGUAUUGACCUUUGCUGCUGCAAUUAUGCCAAUUUGAAACUGUGGCUGCACUUUUGGUUAUAUAAGGGCUUCAUUGUUGCUCUCUUGUCUCCAGGGCUGACAUACUUUGUUAAUACUUGCAUUCGUUCGCAGCUGCUUCUGGAAUUCAGCCUUCUGUGGAAGGUGGACCUUGCAACAGCAUUCGAGAACGCGUUCCUGAGCCUGACAAACAUAAUCUUGCAGCAUGGAGAGGCAAGUGAGGUCGUUACACUGUCUGCAAGCUCUACUGGUAAUGCAGUACUGAGGGCACUUGAGGUCAUUGCGCAGAGGUGUAAGGAAAAGCUGAGCAACAUCGUUUCCAGGGACGUUCCAACACUGACGCCUUGCGUCGUUAUGGAAAACGAGGUGGUGAAGGUCUUCGUGGACAAACAAGAGCUAUUUGUAGCGUCCUCAUUUCUCAGCGGUGUGUGCUGCCUAUUUGCAGCAUUUUGGGUGUUCCAUAUAGAAUACCCAUUGGGAUCCCACAAGAUGCUCACAUUUCUCGAGCACGCCUUCGCAGGGCUGAGUGAAACAAAGCCCAGAGUAAAAGCAAUGGAGUUCCUGAAAUUCUACAUCCUACACGGUGGACGAGAUUAUCAACCCAACGAGAAAUAACUUCAGUUCCUGGCUCUUAGAAAUGUUUGCAAUAAAAUACUG